CCCGUGCCCAGCCCACGGCAGGUGCGCAGGAAGUCCCCGCGCCGUGGAGCUCCGGCGGGCAUCCUGCUACGUGAACAGUGACGAGAACAAGACCGGCAGGGCACGGCCGCCGCGGGAGGGCACGGACGCGGGGGCCUCCUUGACUUCAGGAGACUCCCGUCCCACCGGCGUAGCAGUGGGGGUCAGGGCUCUGGGCAUCACUCUGUGCCCUGCCCCGUCCCCAGGCUGAAUUGCCGUCCAGGGCUUGCUCAAGGCCGCCCGGGCAGGGCUGGGGCUCGCCCUCGGGUGCUGGACUCUCAGCUCUGGGCCCGGAGCUCCCUUCCCUCGGGGUGGCACGCAGGUGGGGGACGGCCACUGAGGGCAGUGGGUCGGGGGCCCUGGAGUCAGACGCGGGGCCUGCCCAGGAAUGCUGCGGGAGUGCCCAGGAACGCAGGGAAAGGACCAGGACGCGCAGGCGCCCCCAGACAAGCGGCCUUCAUCGGGAUGUCCCGGCCUCCAGGGGAGGAGGGGGAGAAGCAGCGGCUCAGGGAACUUCUGCAGGUGACAGGCGCUCCCCGGCACCCCGAGCUGAGCAAGGGCGUCUCGUGGACGCUCAGCCAAAGUGCAUGGACCCCCGAGCUGUGCGUCAGCAGCAAAGGGAGGUCAAGGUUCUUCGCAAGGGGCUGACACCCCCGGGGCCCUGCGAGCCACUCCCGGACACGAGAGGGGCACUUGUUUAUCGGCAACUGGAUGGCCCAGCAUGUGGCCCCGGGGAGUUGCCCACACCUUCCCCCCGCCCCGGGACGGAGGGGGCAGAGCCUGACUGGCCGGGGGCUGGACAGGUGCAGGGCCCGAGGGACCGGGACAGGUCAGUUCCUGUGAGGAAAUGAAGGCCUGGAGUUGAGACGUCCCCGCAGAGGGCGAGCGUGGGGGGGGCAGGGUGCUGCCCGCAUCUGCCUUCCCCUACCCGCCCCCCCCACCCGGGCCCAGGUGCUCAUCUGUAGGUUGCGGACCGGCUCCCGGGGCAGCCCGAGGGUCACCAGGGUUACCCAGUGGGCAGCCCGUGCCC
rnacentral:lncRNA from 1 species